GAUGAACGUUGGCGGCGUGCUUAAUACAUGCAAGUCGAACGAACAACCCGGAGCUUGCUCUGUCGGACCAGUGCCGAACGCGUGAGUAACACGUGAGCAACCUCUCCCUAACUCACGGAGAUGCCCUGGAAACGGCGUCUAUUACUGGAUAUGUUACGUGACCGCGUGUUCUUCGUUUGUAAAGGAUUUUCGGUCGGUGAUGGGGUGGCGGCCUAUCAGCUCGUUAGGGAGGUGAUGGCUCACCAAGGCGCCGACGGGUCGCCGGCCUGAGAGGGUGACCGGCGACACGGGGAUUGAGGCAGGGAGCAGAAUGCUACGGGAGGCAGAAGUGGGGAAUAUGGCAGAAUGGGGGAGAGCCAGAUGCAGCAACGCCGCGUGAGGGAUGCCGGCCUACGGGUGGUAAACAUUUUUGAGCAGGGAAGAAGAGAAAGUGACGGUACCUGAAGAAAAAGCGACGGCUAACUACGUG
rnacentral:rRNA from 1 species